rnacentral:rRNA from 1 species
GGGUGCUAGCGUUGCUCGGAAUUACUGGGCGGAAAGCGUUUGUAGGCGGCUAUUUAAGCCAGUGGUGAAAGCCUGGGGCUCAACCCCAGAACUGCCAUUGGGACUAUUUAGCUAGAGGAUGUUAGAGGUAAGUGGAAUUCCUAGUGUAGGAGUGAAAUCCGUAGAGAUUAGGAGGAAUAUCGAUGGCGAAGGCAGCUGACUGGGACGGUACUGACGCUGAGGCGCGAAAGCGUGGGGAGCAAACAGG